GACGUAGGAUGCGAGCGUUACUCGGAAUCACUGGGCGUAAAGCGUCUGUAGGCGUCACGUAAAGUCUGGUGUGAAAGUGCAGGGCUCAACCCUGUUAUGCGUGCCGGAAACUUACGUGAUCGAGAUACUCAGAGGUGCCUGGAAUGCUGUGUGUAGGGGUAAAAUCCGUAGAUACACAGUAGAACGCUCAAAGCGAAGGCAGGGCACUGGGGGUUUUCUGACGCUGAGAGACGAAAGCGUGGGGAGCAAACCGG
rnacentral:rRNA from 1 species